rnacentral:rRNA from 1 species
GGCUGGGGGUGAAAGGCCAAUCAAACCGGGAGAUAGCUGGUUCUCCCCGAAAGCUAUUUAGGUAGCGCCUCGUGAAUUCAUCUCCGGGGGUAGAGCACUGUUUCGGCUAGGGGGCCAUCCCGGCUUACCAACCCGAUGCAAACUGCGAAUACCGGAGAAUGUUAUCACGGGAGACACACGGCGGGUGCUAACGUCCGUCGUGAAGAGGGAAACAACCCAGACCGCCAGCUAAGGUCCCAAAGUCAUGGUUAAGUGGGAAACGAUGUGGGAAGGCCCAGACAGCCAGGAUGUUGGCUUAGAAGCAGCCAUCAUUUAAAGAAAGCGUAAUAGCUCACUGGUCGAGUCGGCCUGCGCGGAAGAUGUAACGGGGCUAAACCAUGCACCGAAGCUGCGGCAGCGAACGUAUCACUUAAAGCGAUUCAGCGGGUUACGAUUGACGGAGCGAAGCGACGUCAAAGCGUAUACAAAGUCGAGUCGGUUUAAGGAUACGUUCGUUGGGUAGGGGAGCGUUCUGUAAGCCUGUGAAGGUGGCCUGUGAGGGUUGCUGGAGGUAUCAGAAGUGCGAAUGCUGACAUAAGUAACGAUAAAGCGGGUGAAAAGCCCGCUCGCCGGAAGACCAAGGGUUCCUGUCCAACGUUAAUCGGGGCAGGGUGAGUCGACCCCUAAGGCGAGGCCGAAAGGCGUAGUCGAUGGGAAACGGGUUAAUAUUCCCGUACUUGGUGUUACUGCGAAGGGGGGACGGAGAAGGCUAUGUUGGCCGGGCGACGGUUGUCCCGGUUUAAGCGUGUAGGUGUGUGUUCCAGGUAAAUCCGGUUCACUUUAACACUGAGGCGUGACGACGAGGCACUACGGUGCUGAAGCAACAAAUGCCCUGCUUCCAGGAAAAGCCUCUAAGCAUCAGGUAACAUCAAAUCGUACCCCAAACCGACACAGGUGGUCAGGUAGAGAAUACCAAGGCGCUUGAGAGAACUCGGGUGAAGGAACUAGGCAAAAUGGUGCCGUAACUUCGGGAGAAGGCACGCUGACACGUAGGUGAAGUGAUUUACUCAUGGAGCUGAAGUCAGUCGAAGAUACCAGCUGGCUGCAACUGUUUAUUAAAAACACAGCACUGUGCAAACACGAAAGUGGACGUAUACGGUGUGACGCCUGCCCGGUGCCGGAAGGUUAAUUGAUGGGGUCAGCGCAAGCGAAGCUCCUGAUCGAAGCCCCGGUAAACGGCGGCCGUAACUAUAACGGUCCUAAGGUAGCGAAAUUCCUUGUCGGGUAAGUUCCGACCUGCACGAAUGGCGUAAUGAUGGCCAGGCUGUCUCCACCCGAGACUCAGUGAAAUUGAACUCGCUGUGAAGAUGCAGUGUACCCGCGGCAAGACGGAAAGACCCCGUGAACCUUUACUAUAGCUUGACACUGAACAUUGAGCCUUGAUGUGUAG